GUCCCCAUAGACUAGUUGGUUAGGUCACCACCCUUUCAAGGUGGUCGGACGGGUUCGAGUCCCGUUGGGGACG
rfam:Candidatus Firestonebacteria bacterium RIFOXYC2_FTLL_39_67 rifoxyc2_full_scaffold_298, whole genome shotgun sequence.